rnacentral:rRNA from 1 species
AUGCAAUUUCCUCGUCCAUACCUAACUUCAUAUUGUCGUAGCUUUAUGAAUCUGCUUAAUUGCAAACCAAUUACUACUAAUAAUCAUCCCCUGCGGCACUACUAUCCUCUACUCAAGUGGCAACUAAUUAGUGGCAAUCAUACUUGCAGUUCACUUCAACAAUGUUACGUCAUCCAAUCUGCUCUGUUUUCCUUCGCAGGGUACAGGAGGUGUGAGAUCCAUAAUGCUAGCUUCAGCAAAGUCAUCCAAAUCUGGCCAAAGGAACUCAUGAGGAUAUUUUACAAAUUACUAUCGGUGUUCCACCCUAGUGAGAUGACUGAAUUCGUGUACACCCAGGAUACUUACCAGACGGAUCUUCAAAAAUUGGAGCCCUAUUUGACAAGAAAAUCCCUGAUUGUAAUGAUCUUGGUGGUUUGUGUGAGGAAGAUCGUGGCUUCUGUUCUGAGCUCAUCUUUCAAGAAGUUGGGAUGGACAAAUGAAGACCAAAACAACCCACCUUCAAGACGCCAGGAGAAAAGGCCUCCAACAAAUGCAAUUUGA